ACGCUGGCGGCAGGCUUAACACAUGCAAGUCGAACGGUAACAUAAAGAAGCUUGCUUCUUUGAUGACGAGUGGCGGACGGGUGAGUAAUGCUUGGGAAUCUAGCUUAUGGAGGGGGAUAACUACGGGAAACUGUAGCUAAUACCGCGUAAUAUCGAAAGAUUAAAGUGUGGGACCUUCGGGCCACAUGCCAUAGGAUGAGCCCAAGUGGGAUUAGGUAGUUGGUGAGGUAAAGGCUCACCAAGCCGACGAUCUCUAGCUGGUCUGAGAGGAUGACCAGCCACACUGGGACUGAGACACGGCCCAGACUCCUACGGGAGGCAGCAGUGGGGAAUAUUGCGCAAUGGGGGCAACCCUGACGCAGCCAUGCCGCGUGAAUGAAGAAGGCCUUCGGGUUGUAAAGUUCUUUCGGUAGCGAGGAAGGCAUUUAGUUUAAUAGACUAGGUGAUUGACGUUAACUACAGAAGAAGCACCGGCUAACUCCGUGCCAGCAGCCGCGGUAAUACGGAGGGUGCGAGCGUUAAUCGGAAUAACUGGGCGUAAAGGGCACGCAGGCGGUGACUUAAGUGAGGUGUGAAAGCCCCGGGCUUAACCUGGGAAUUGCAUUUCAUACUGGGUCGCUAGAGUACUUUAGGGAGGGGUAGAAUUCCACGUGUAGCGGUGAAAUGCGUAGAGAUGUGGAGGAAUACCGAAGGCGAAGGCAGCCCCUUGGGAAUGUACUGACGCUCAUGUGCGAAAGCGUGGGGAGCAAACAGGAUUAUAUACCCUGGUAGUCCACGCUGUAAACGAUGUCGAUUUGGGGGUUGAACUUUGAGUUUGGCGCCCGUAGCUAACGUGAUAAAUCGACCGCCUGGGGAGUACGGCCGCAAGGUUAAAACUCAAAUGAAUUGACGGGGGCCCGCACAAGCGGUGGAGCAUGUG
rnacentral:rRNA from 1 species